rnacentral:rRNA from 1 species
GUGCCAGCAGCCGCGGUAAUACAGAGAGUGCGAACGUUGUUCGGAAUUACUGGGCUUAAAGCGCACGUAGGCGGCAUUGUAAGUGUCUGGUGAAAUCCCACGGCUCACCCGUGGAACUGCCAGGCAUACUGUGAUGCUCGAGUGUGGUAGGGGAGAGCGGAACUCCUGGUGGAGCGGUGAAAUGCGUAGAUAUCAGGAGGAACACCGGUGGCGAAGGCGGCUCUCUGGUCCACAACUGACGCUGAGGUGCGAAAGCUAGGGGAGCAAACGGGAUUAGAAACCCUGGUAGUCC